rnacentral:rRNA from 1 species
UCCCAGACUCCUACGGGAGGCAGCAGUGGGGGAUAUUGCACAAUGGGGGAAACCCUGAUGCAGCGACGCCGCGUGGGUGAAGAAGCGCCUCGGCGCGUAAAGCCCUGUCAGCAGGGAAGAAAAUGACGGUACCUGAAGAAGAAGCCCCGGCUAACUACGUGCCAGCAGCCGCGGUAAUACGUAGGGGGCAAGCGUUAUCCGGAUUUACUGGGUGUAAAGGGAGCGUAGACGGCGGUGCAAGCCAGAUGUGAAAGCCCGGGGCUCAACCCCGGGACUGCAUUUGGAACUGUGCUGCUAGAGUGUCGGAGAGGCAGGCGGAAUUCCUAGUGUAGCGGUGAAAUGCGUAGAUAUUAGGAGGAACACCAGUGGCGAAGGCGGCCUGCUGGACGAUGACUGACGUUGAGGCUCGAAAGCGUGGGGAGCAAACAGGAUUAGAUACCCUUGUA